AGCAGCCGCGGUAAUUCCAGCUCCAAUAGCGUAUAUUAAAGUUGUUGCAGUUAAAAAGCUCGUAGUUGAAUUUCGGGGUCAGUAGAUUGGUCGUGCCACUGGUAUGUACUGGUCUUACUGGCUCCUCCUUCCUGAUGAACCGUAAUGCCAUUAAUUUGGUGUUGCGGGGAAACUGGACUGUUACUUUGAAAAAAUUAGAGUGUUUAAAGCAGGCUAACGCUUGAAUACAUUAGCAUGGAAUAAUGAAAUAGGACGUUCGAUCUUAUUUUGUUGGUUUCUAGGAUUGACGUAAUGAUUAAUAGGGAUAGUUGGGGGCAUUAGUAUUCAAUUGUCAGAGGUGAAAUUCUUGGAUUUAUUGAAGACUAACUACUGCGAAAGCAUUUGCCAAGGAUGUUUUCAUUAAUCAAGAACGAAAGUUAGGGGAUCGAAGACGAUCAGAUACCGUCGUAGUCUUAACCAUAAACUAUGCCGACUAGGGACCGGAUGAUGUUAAUUUUUUAAUGACU
rnacentral:rRNA from 1 species